CAUUAAAGAGUUCUAUAACUCCCAAACCCAUGUGAACAUACCUAACGUUGCCUCGGCAGGUCGCACCUACCUUGUAGCACCCUACCCUGUAGGGCCUACCCGGGAGGUGCGGGUAAGCCUGCCGGCGGCCCACCAAACUCUGUUUGAUAUUGAAUUCUGAACCUAUAACUAAAUAAGUUAAAACUUUCAACAACGGAUCUCUUGGUUCUGGCAUCGAUGAAGAACGCAGCGAAAUGCGAUAAGUAAUGUGAAUUGCAGAAUUCAGUGAAUCAUCGAAUCUUUGAACGCAUAUUGCGCCCAUUAGUAUUCUAGUGGGCAGGACCGUUCGAGCGUCAUUUCAACCCUUAAGCCUUCGUUGCUUAGUGUUGGGAGCCUACGGCAACGUAGCUCCUCAAAGUUAGUGGCGGAGUUGGUUCACACUCUAGACGUAGUAAUUUUUUAUCUCGCCUAUUAGUUGGACUAAUCCCCUGCCGUAAAACCCCUAAUUUAUCAAGGUUGACCUCGAAUCGGUUCAGACAAACUCGCUAAAUUGAAGCAUCUUAGUCAGCGAAGGAAAAGAAACCAACAGGGAUUGCCCUAGUAACGGCGAGUGAAGCGGCAACAGCUCAAAUUUGAAAUCUGGCCCUCGGGUC
rnacentral:rRNA from 1 species